rnacentral:tRNA from 1 species
GGAGGUAUGGCUGAGCGGCUUAAGGCAUUGGUUUGCUAUACAAGAAGAUUGUAUCAUGGGUUCGAAUCCCAUUUCCUUCG